GCCAACAUGGUGUAGUGGUUUGAGUGUUAGACUAAGACACUGACAGACCAGGGUUCGAAUCCACGCUUUGCCA